rnacentral:rRNA from 1 species
UACGUAGGGUGCAAGCGUUGUCCGGAAUUACUGGGCGUAAAGCGCGUGUAGGCGGCAAGGCAAGUCGGGUGUGAAAGCCCUGGGCUCAACCCGGGAAGUGCAUUCGAUACUGCAUUGCUGGAGUAUGGAAGAGGUAGGUGGAACUGCGAGUGUAGAGGUGAAAUUCGUAGAUAUUCGCAAGAACACCAGUGGCGAAGGCGGCCUACUGGUCCAUCACUGACGCUGAGAUGCGAAAGCGUGGGGAGCAAACAGG